ensembl:lncRNA
CUUCCAUUAGCACUGUGUGUCAUUAGCAUAUCACAUGUUACAGUCUCCUUAAUCCAGUGUGAGGAGUCCCUCCAUCCAGUUCUCGGCAAACCUUUGUUUCUUGUUUUAGAAGGAACACUAUAAGCCAUAAAGGCAAUCCCAUAGUCAUAAUCUCUCUAGUAGGCUCUGUAGUUUUCAAAGUUUGAAAUUUACUUAACUUUUUUUUGCAUGCUUGUAUUUGAAAACAUGAAGGAGAUACCAGACUGUAAUCAUCAGUGUGUCUUGGGUACAGGAGAUACCUGACUUGCCCCAGUAUUCACACUGGGCUUGUAAAAGUACCUGUGAUUAAAAUACUUAUAAGCCUUUUUGAAGAAAUAAUGUUGUCUAACUAUAUAGUAGGGGACGCUAAGUGAGAUAAACACUGAGUCUCAUAGAGCGAUUGUAUCAAGAGGAGAUUUUCUGUGAAAUGAAUUUACUUGGGGGUCAAAAUGCUCACAUAUUUUAAAGAAAGCAAGUACUUGUUUGAAACAGUACAGCCCCUCUGUUGAGAUUCAUGUGGCUGGUUACAUGCAAACCAAAGGCACAACUAUGAGUUUGGGUGGAGAAAUCUCCAUUUCUUUUUUCCUUCACUGGUCUUUAAAAAUUAUGUUUUUCUAGUGGCUAGAAGGACAAGUCAGAAAUAGUUAAAUUCUGGCUUGGAAACUCAUGAGAAUUAAUGAUCUGUAGACCAAUUUUUUAUCCUAAAACGUCAUGCUUGAUCCCCAACUUCUUAUGGGACUGCUCUUCAGGGCGAUUUCUUGUUUUUCUUUCUUCAGUGUGUACAUGUGCCCUGAGGCUGUUUGUAAUGGGAGAAUUUCAUAAAAUUCAUAAAUUUAAAACACCCCACACAUCCAAAAUUCUUCCUGAAUGUGUCAUUUUCAAGUUAUUUUCACCAAAUCACAUAAAAUAAAGCAGCACUAUGGUCACCUCUUUUUAAUAUUAUCCCUUAUAUUUAAUUUUAUUGGUCUUUCCUCAUAUACUAGGUACCAUCAUGAAUAAAGCAAAUUACAUUGACCACCUGGGUUUAAAUGGCCAGCUUCCAUCUUUUGGUGUUAUUUCUUUGAAAUAAAAUGUAUCUCACAUUUAAUUUGGGAGUAAGAAAACAUAACAUAAAGAAAUAAUGCAAACUUCAAUGCCAUGGGGGGUGUGGCUUACAUGUGUGCCUUAAAACGUGUUUAUAUAUAAGAGGAAUUAACUUGCUUUGUGUAUAAAAGAGCUAUAGUUCUUCAAAGAGCGGGCAUCUGAUCCCAGAACUGAGUUCACUGAGAUUAAAUUGUGCUCUGGGAAUUGAAGGUGUCCUCAGACCCUGGAAAUCCAAAAUGCAAAUGAAGAAGAAAUCAGGAGGUGUAAACACUGAAGGGAAUGAAUGUUUUCUGAAAUCCAGGCAGAAGAGAGACUGCUUGGCAAAAUGGUUGCACAGAACAAACUUGGAAUUUUCAGACUGAAAAAACAAAAACCUGAAAACAACUUCCCCAAAGACAAGGUACAACUGCUUCUAAGUCUCUGGAAGGUUCCAGUGUCCCAGGAGUUCCACAUGCACUCUAAGAUGAUUAUACCACUUUGCUACCAGCUUGCAGUAUUUUCAGUGCUGCAGAAAAGAGUUGCUGCACGAUGAGGAUUUCUGGCGAUGAGAAGCAGAGCUCAUCACUGGCAGGUUAGAUUCUGAAUCAUGGCCUACUAACUAAACCCCGGAGUGCCACACCUUGGAAACACAGAAGACAGAAGUCUCAGUGCGUCAUUUUUCUAGUUGCUUUCAAGGUAUCAUUAAGUGCUGCCUAAGAGUACCCUUCUAGUGCAAAAUGUGUUGUUCAGGAUUCUGUCCAGAUGCUGUUGGGCUGCUUCAAGGAGACUUCAAAUGGUCCUACUAGUGAGCCACCUUAUCGACCUUCACUCUGACAUUUGGCUUGGCUGCGUUUGAAGUGGUCCCAUGAGUGAGUCAUCUUACCGACCUUCACUUUGCCAUUUGGCUCGACUGCAUAUCAGAUGUUGUUGAAACCAAAACUAGUGGAUCCCUCUUCUUUCCAGGGAAGACUACAUUUUAGAAAUCUCCACAAUUACAACUUUAAACUGAAGCCAGAAAAUACAUUUUUUUGAAACUAAUCAGUCAGCAGAUCACCUGUCAUCCAACUGUGUGCCAUAUACAUAUAAUUUCAAGAAACAUUGGCCAUCAAGUACUUAAAAUUUUAGGGAUUUGGGCAACACCCAAUGCAGAACAGAUGAAUUUCAUGGUUUCUUUAUGCAUUUGCACAAAUUAAAAUAUAAGUCUUCACUUGGUUCGUUUGAACCCCUUUCUUCAAUUAGCUCUGUAUGCAGAGAAGGCCAGACAGCAGUUUUCAGAGAGCAAUCAAGAUUCUUCUGCAUGUUGUUACCUCUGUGUGUGAACGCCACUCUGACAGGGCAAAUUCUUGGAUUAAAAGUUGAUUGUACUCUAGCAGUUCUUCUUAUAACUGGUUUUGUAAACACAAAUGUUCAAAAUCACAAAAACUCUUUUCAAACAGUUAUUUUCUUUUCAGAUACAAGAACAGUAGGUAUAAGCUUCCCAAAGGUAGAUCUUACAUCCAAAUAAUACGUGUGUGUGUGUGUGUGUGUGUGUGUG